rnacentral:rRNA from 1 species
AUACACCGGUUCUCGUCCGAUCACCGAAGUUAAGCAACGUCGGGCGAGGUCAGUACUUGGAUGGGUGACCGCCUGGGAAC